rnacentral:rRNA from 1 species
CCUACGGGAGACAGCAGUGAGGAAUAUUGGUCAAUGGACGAGAGUCUGAACCAGCCAAGUAGCGUGAAGGAUGACGGCCCUAUGGGUUGUAAACUUCUUUUAUAUGGGAACAAAACAGGGUACGCAUACCCGCUUGUAUGUACCUUAAGAAUAAGGAUCGGCUAACUCCGUGCCAGCAGCCGCGGUAAUACGGAGGAUCCGAGCGUUAUCCGGAUUUAUUGGGUUUAAAGGGAGCGUAGGCGGAUUGUUAAGUCAGUUGUGAAAGUUUGCGGCUCAACCGUAGAAUUGCGGUUGAAACUGGCAGUCUUGAGUGCAGUAGAGGUAUGCGGAAUUCGUGGUGUAGCGGUGAAAUGCUUAGAUAUCACGAAGAACUCCGAUUGCGAAGGCAGCUCACUGGACUGCCACUGACGCUGAUGCUCGAAAGUGUGGGUAUCAAACAGGAUUAGAUACCCUUGUAGUC